GAGAAAACAAAUCCAAUAAACAUACAUUUCAGGAACAAAAAUCCAAGGGGGAAAAAGCUAAACUCCAGAUGAAUUUUAAUAGUAUAUUGUCUUGAAAUUAUCAUCCACUAAGCACAAAAAAAUCACCUUGAAAAAUAUAAAUAGAAUGCUCUCUCAAAAUGAACUGUUCGUCCAUAUUGAGUCCAAAUUGCUAUGACCCAUAUGUGCAAAAGCUUCCUCAUGAUGUGGCGGUGGUAGGGGAGGUGGUCCGCCAUUGUGGUUUGCAUCGUCGGCGCCGGAAUUUGGGUUUGAACUGUCCAGUUUCGCUGUAGACGAAAUUUGCUAUGGAUUUGAAUUUUCAGCAUUGUCUGAUGUUAUAAAUACAUCAUUAGGAGUGGAAUUAGGUUCUUGGUCGACUUGGAUGAUGGGCAUGUCUGGGUGUCGCUGAAAGUGGAGAUUUCAGCCAUUUUUAAGUGCGUAGGUAAGUUGUUUUUGGGCGAUUUUCACUUGAUUUCUACUGGAGUUAAGGCCAAUGAUUGGGUGGGUAGUGAAGAGGGAAGUGUGCGCUUCAAGUUGGUAUGAAGAUCCGGCGGCCAUGGUGGCCGGAGAUUGGAGUUAUUGGGAUCCAUAAUUGGUGGCUCAAAAAUCCCAAAAGACAGGAGUUAGGAAAUGAAAUGGAGGGAGGGCGGCAG
rnacentral:lncRNA from 1 species